rnacentral:rRNA from 1 species
UGCAAGUCGAGGGGCAGCAUGGUCUUAGCUUGCUAAGGCUGAUGGCGACCGGCGCACGGGUGAGUAACACGUAUCCAACCUGCCGUCUACUCUUGGCCAGCCUUCUGAAAGGAAGAUUAAUUCAGGAUGGGAUCAUGAGUUCACAUGUCCGCAUGAUUAAAGGUAUUUUCCGGUAGACGAUGGGGAUGCGUUCCAUUAGAUAGUAGGCGGGGUAACGGCCCACCUAGUCAACGAUGGAUAGGGGUUCUGAGAGGAAGGUCCCCCACAUUGGAACUGAGACACGGUCCAAACUCCUACGGGAGGCAGCAGUGAGGAAUAUUGGUCAAUGGGCGAUGGCCUGAACCAGCCAAGUAGCGUGAAGGAUGACUGCCCUAUGGGUUGUAAACUUCUUUUAUAAAGGAAUAAAGUCGGGUAUGCAUACCCGUUUGCAUGUACUUUAUGAAUAAGGAUCGGCUAACUCCGUGCCAGCAGCCGCGGUAAUACGGAGGAUCCGAGCGUUAUCCGGAUUUAUUGGGUUUAAAGGGAGCGUAGAUGGAUGUUUAAGUCAGUUGUGAAAGUUUGCGGCUCAACCGUAAAAUUGCAGUUGAUACUGGAUGUCUUGAGUGCAGUUGAGGCAGGCGGAAUUCGUGGUGUAGCGGUGAAAUGCUUAGAUAUCACGAAGAACUCCGAUUGCGAAGGCAGCCUGCUAAGCUGCAACUGACAUUGAGGCUCGAAAGUGUGGGUAUCAAACAGGAUUAGAUACCCUGGUAGUCCACACGGUAAACGAUGAAUACUCGCUGUUUGCGAUAUACGGCAAGCGGCCAAGCGAAAGCGUUAAGUAUUCCACCUGGGGAGUACGCCGGCAACGGUGAAACUCAAAGGAAUUGG